rnacentral:rRNA from 1 species
CCUACGGGAGGCAGCAGUGAGGAAUAUUGGUCAAUGGGCGGAAGCCUGAACCAGCCAAGUAGCGUGCAGGAUGACGGCCCUACGGGUUGUAAACUGCUUUUAUACGGGAAUAACGUGCCUUACGUGUAGGGCUUUGCAUGUACCGUAUGAAUAAGGACCGGCUAAUUCCGUGCCAGCAGCCGCGGUAAUACGGAGGGUCCGCGCGUUAUCCGGAUUUAUUGGGUUUAAAGGGAGCGUAGGCCGGAUGUAAAGGGUGAGGUGAAAUGUUCGGGCUCAACCCGGGCCUUGAAGUGGGGACUGGCGUGCUUGAGUCCGCGGAAGGCAGGCGGAAUUCGUCGUGUAGCGGUGACAUGCUUAGAUAUGACGAAGAACCCCGAUUGCGAAGGCAGCUUGCUGCAGCGGAACUGACGCUGAGGCACGAAAGCGUGGGUAUCGAACAGGAUUAGAUACCCCUGUAGUC